rnacentral:rRNA from 1 species
AUUAUACCGUGAAACUGCGAAUGGCUCAUUAAAUCAGUUAUCGUUUAUUUGAUAGUACCUUACUACUUGGAUAACCGUGGUAAUUCUAGAGCUAAUACAUGCUAAAAACCCCAACUUCGGAAGGGGUGUAUUUAUUAGAUAAAAAACCAAUGCCCUUCGGGGCUCUUUGGUGAUUCAUGAUAACUUCUCAGAUCGCAUGGCCUUGCGCCGGCGACGGUUCAUUCAAAUUUCUGCCCUAUCAACUUUCGAUGGUAAGGUAUUGGCUUACCAUGGUUUCAACGGGUAACGGGGAAUUAGGGUUCGAUUCCGGAGAGGGAGCCUGAGAAACGGCUACCACAUCCAAGGAAGGCAGCAGGCGCGCAAAUUACCCAAUCCCGACACGGGGAGGUAGUGACAAUAAAUACUGAUACAGGGCUCUUUUGGGUCUUGUAAUUGGAAUGAGUACAAUUUAAACCUCUUAACGAGGAACAAUUGGAGGGCAAGUCUGGUGCCAGCAGCCGCGGUAAUUCCAGCUCCAAUAGCGUAUAUUAAAGUUGUUGCAGUUAAAAAGCUCGUAGUUGAACCUUGGGCCUGGCUGGCAGGUCCGCCUCACCGCGUGUACUUGACCGGCCGGGCCUUCUCUUCUGGAGAACCUCAUGCCCUUUACUGGGCGUGUUGGGGACCAGGACUUUUACUUUGAAAAAAUUAGAGUGUUCAAAGCAGGCCUUUGCUCGAAUAUGUUAGCAUGGAAUAAUAGAAUAGGACGUGCGGUCCUAUUUUGUUGGUUUCUAGGACCGCCGUAAUGAUUAAUAGGGACAGUCGGGGGCAUCAGUAUUCAAUUGUCAGAGGUGAAAUUCUUGGAUUUAUUGAAGACUAACUACUGCGAAAGCAUUUGCCAAGGAUGUUUUCAUUAAUCAGUGAACGAAAGUUAGGGGAUCGAAGACGAUCAGAUACCGUCGUAGUCUUAACCAUAAACUAUGCCGACUAGGGAUCGGGCGAUGUUUCAAUAUUGACUCGCUCGGCACCUUACGAGAAAUCAAAGU